GCUGGGUAUGUUGGCGUACACCUGUAAAUCCCAGCAGCUCAGGAGGCUGAGGCAGGAGCAUCACAAGUUCCAGGCCAGCCUCAGCAACUAUAGUGAGACCCUGUUUCAA
rnacentral:sRNA from 1 species